ACGCUAGCGGGAGGCCUAACACAUGCAAGCCGAGCGGUAUUUGUUCUUCGGAACAGAGAGAGCGGCGUACGGGUGCGGAACACGUGUGCAACCUGCCUUUAUCUGGGGGAUAGCCUUUCGAAAGGAAGAUUAAUACCCCAUAAUAUAUUUUACGGCAUCGUGGAAUAUUGAAAACUCCGGUGGAUAGAGAUGGGCACGCGCAAGAUUAGAUAGUUGGUGAGGUAACGGCUCACCAAGUCAGUGAUCUUUAGGGGGCCUGAGAGGGUGAUCCCCCACACUGGUACUGAGACACGGACCAGACUCCUACGGGAGGCAGCAGUGAGGAAUAUUGGACAAUGGGUGCAAGCCUGAUCCAGCCAUCCCGCGUGAAGGACUAAGGCCCUAUGGGUUGUAAACUUCUUUUAUACUGGGAUAAACCUACUUACGUGUAAGUAGCUGAAGGUACAGUAUGAAUAAGCACCGGCUAACUCCGUGCCAGCAGCCGCGGUAAUACGGAGGGUGCAAGCGUUAUCCGGAUUUAUUGGGUUUAAAGGGUCCGUAGGCGGAUUCGUAAGUCAGUGGUGAAAUCUCAUAGCUUAACUAUGAAACUGCCAUUGAUACUGCGAGUCUUGAGUGAGAUUGAGGUAGCUGGAAUAAGUAGUGUAGCGGUGAAAUGCAUAGAUAUUACUUAGAACACCAAUUGCGAAGGCAGGUUACCAAGUCUUAACUGACGCUGAGGGACGAAAGCGUGGGGAGCGAAC
rnacentral:rRNA from 1 species